UUAUUGUGAUUUGUUCAUUCUGAUUCCAACAACGAAAACAACGUAUUCGUUCUGAGAGAACGAAAAAAGUUCAACGUUUAGUCUUCUAAAAAAAGCAUAAUUUAUAAUUAACAGACUAACUCCUCUGUUAAAACAAAUUAACAAGGUUUAAAAUUAGAAAGAUUGGGCUUGGGUAGAAUACUUCCCAACUACAGGAUUUUAGAAAAUACACCUGUGGGAAGCGCGAAACCCGUUGUAAUUUACAGAUCUUGCUAUUAUAACGAUUGGAACAAUAAUUCCCGCUUCAGGUUGUGCUGCCAUCUAUUGUGCCAUUGAUUGAACAGAAUUAGCACAUUUGUUUUGAAAGUUUUCAAACUUCCGUGAGAUUUGUUCCAUGACGCCUGCUUUGAUGUAACAUUUGUAUUGAUCAACGCUUCUACUGCAAAAAGGAAAAUAAACAUGAAGUUCAUCACUAUUUUGUUUUUGUUCUUAUGCUUCAUUGCUGUUGUAUUUAGCCACAAAAAAUGCCACAAAAAAAGAAAAAAAGAAAUGAAAAAGAGGGAAAAGGGAUUAAUUGGCAACUUCAUUCCAGAUUGUGAUGAAAAAGGUCAUUACAAACAAGUUCAAUGCAAUGAAGCAACUGGAUUCUGUUGGUGCGUCGACAAAAAAGGUCACAAAACUGCUGAAUCUGUCCUCCAAGGACAACCAAACUGUACAAAAAGUUAAAAACUCUAUGGUUUUUAAAGAGAAUUUAUAUCGACUCGAAUUUUUGCUUUCAAAUUGUAGCUUAAAAUGUAUUCUAAAACUCUUCCUUCUUCAUAAAAAUGUGAUAAAUUUAUACUUGUUGAAAUAAAUAAUUUGAACGAAACUAAAUAAAUCGCAAGAGAUUCUGACAAAGAGACAAAUCUUGCUAUUUUGUAAUCUUUUAUAUAUAUAUAUCAUGUUUUAAGCAGUUUGCACAUUUUUAAGUGGUGGUAUAUAAACGACCACCUCUUUCUGGCGCUAUGUGGCUCGAACAUAGUUUCGAAAUACGAAAUUUCAUUAUUGAAAAUUAUUGUUUUAGAUUAAAACAUUUUCUUACAUGGAAAAACA